AACGAACGCUGGCGGCAUGCCUAACACAUGCAAGUCGAACGAGACCUUCGGGUCUAGUGGCGCACGGGUGCGUAACGCGUGGGAACCUGCCUUUAGGUUCGGAAUAACUCCCCGAAAGAGGUGCUAAUACCGGAUCAUGUCUUCGGACCAAAGAUUUAUCGCCUUUGGAUGGGCCUGCGUUGGAUUAGCUAGUUGGUAGGGUAAAAGCCUACCAAGGCGACGAUCCAUAGCUGGUCUGUGAGGAAGAGCAGCGACACUGGGACGGAGACACGGCCCAGACUCCUACGGGAGGCAGCAGUGGGGAAUAUUGGACAGUGGGCGAAAGCCUGAUCCAGCAAUGCCGCGUGAGUGAUGAAGGCCUUAGGGUUGUAAAGCUCGUUUACCCGGGAUGAUAAUGACAGUACCGGGAGAAUAAGCUCCGGCUAACUCCGUG
rnacentral:rRNA from 1 species